rnacentral:tRNA from 1 species
GUCCAGGGGCGGGAAUCGAACCCACAGUGGACAAGGCACCUGCCCGGUAAGCAGAAGGGUGUGGGUUCGAUUCCCGCCCCUGGACA